AGACUGGUUAAUGAUAACAAUACGUUGUAAAACCUUCAGAAGGAAAGAAUGCUGUAUGGACCUUUGUGUGUGUGGGGGGGGGGGGCAGUUUUACGUUGUUAGUUUUCAAAAUCAGU
rnacentral:pre_miRNA from 1 species